GGCCUAAUGGCCCAAUGGCAAGGCGCUUGACUACGAUUUCAUCGGUAUCAAGAGAUUCCAGGUUGUAAGUAAAUACACGCUCGCAUUCACCAGCGUUCGAGUUCUGACACAUGCAGCGACCCCUGGUUAGGUCA
rnacentral:tRNA from 1 species